UACGUAGGGGGCAAGCGUUGUCCGGAUUCAUUGGGCGUAAAGAGCGUGUAGGCGGCCAGGUAGGUCGGUUGUGAAAACUGGAGGCUCAACCUUCAGAGGUCGACCGAAACCAUCUGGCUAGAGUCCGGGAGAGGAGAGUGGAAUUCCUGGUGUAGCGGUGAAAUGCGCAGAUAUCAGGAAGAACACCCGUGGCGAAAGCGGCGUCUCUGGAACGGUACUGACGCUGAGACGCGAAAGCGUGGGGAGCGAACAGG
rnacentral:rRNA from 1 species